UUCACCUUCUUUUUCAAGCAGGAGAAGGGCGACUUCAUCCUCAUCAGAUGCAGCAGACCGAGCGAUCGAAGUUCAGUGAAGUAGGCAUUACCUUUGACACACACAUGGGUGCAAUAAGAAAGGGAGCAUGUCCUCAUCGUCGGAUUGUUAGUUGGGGUAAUUUCGUGAAAGCCAUCCAUCUUAAUUAGGUGGAACCCGGACGGUAGAGGCUUGAAACGCGCUCUUCCUCUACAAAGAAAUGGCCAUAUAAUCGAUGUUGAGGCUAUAAGGAAUGCCCGAACGCCGGGAGCUCAGUUUGGACCGGGAUCCCAUAGAAUAAAAAGAACGUCAGUGAGG
rnacentral:lncRNA from 1 species